UACAGAGGGGGCCAGCGUUAUUCGGAAUUAUUGGGCGUAAAGGGUGCGUAGGCGGCGCGGUAAGUCGGGUGUGAAAUUUCGAGGCUUAACUUCGAAACUGCAUUCGAUACUGCCGUGCUUGAGGACUGGAGAGGGGACUGGAAUUUACGGUGUAGCGGUGAAAUGCGUAGAUAUCGUAAGGAAGACCAGUGGCGAAGGCGGGUCUCUGGACAGUUCCUGACGCUGAGGCACGAAGGCCAGGGGAGCAAACGGG
rnacentral:rRNA from 1 species